CUCCCUCCUCUCGGUCAACAUCCUCUCUCUCGUCUCCUCUUUCUCUCUUCUUCUGUUUCUCUCUUCUUCUCUUCCUUAAAAUUCCCGUCGCCCCUUCCAUUUCCUCGUCGGAGCCGCCGAGAGGAGUUGCUGUCUUGCUGGGAGCCGCUGCCUUCUCUGCCGUAGCCGCCGGGAAGACGCGCCGCUGCUGUCCAUCGAGCUCCUCUGCUCCAGCCGGCUUCACGCCACCGCCGACGUCCUCAGUGAGCCGCCGGUGGCCGGACAGCCCAGGGGCGUCCCCGCCGCUGACCCGAACAGGCCCACACCAGCCCGAAGAAGACCCGAUUCCCUCCGGGCAGCCCCGUACUUAACUCGAGCGUCCCGCAAGGUUCAUGUGUGAUGAUAUGCAAUGUAUACAAUGAUCCAUAAAGGAAGGGAUUAUACCUCAAACAAGGAUUGAACUUGGUGGUGGAUGGGCAAGAAUGGUGAAAUUUUCUCCUCUUCUUCCUCUCUCGGCUUCUCUCUCGGCUCUCUCACAAUUUGCUUGAUGUAAAAUGUAUUGUGAAGUGUUUAGAGAAGGAGAGAAGUGAAGAAACUUAUGCAUUUAACUUGUGACCUUUGAUUGUAAGAAAUGAAUGUGGAAGAUGGAGGGUGAGGAAGUUGAAGAUGGAGGGUCUCCAUGGAAGGGGGGGGGGGGGUUCGGCCAAUUGGGAAGAAAAAGAAGGAGAAAAGGUGUUGGGCUUGCUCCCACAUUUUUGGAAUUGAAAAGGGCUCCCACACUUAAAUUUGUUCUGGGCAUAUUUAGUUGCAAGCCCAAUUUGUAUAAAUAUUUAUUUGUUAGACUUUUUGAUUGUUUUGGCCCAAAGCCAUUUUGUAAAAAAAAAAAACACAUUGGACUUUCUUUAUAUUUACUUGGAUUGGCCCCAAGUUCUUAUUUUUGUUUGUUUCCUUUCGUUUGGACAAAUUAUUAUUA